rnacentral:rRNA from 1 species
CUCCUACGGGUGGCUGCAGUAACGAAUAUUGGACAAUGAGCGAAAGCUUGAUCCAGCAAUACCGCGUGCAGGAAGAAGCCCUUCGGGGUGUAAACUGCUGUCAGGGACCACCAAGCAAAGAGUGCUAAUAUCAUUCUGCGUUGAGGAAUCCCAGAGGAAGCCACGGCUAACUUCGUGCCAGCAGCCGCGGUAAGACGAAGGUGGCGAGCGUUGUUCGGAAUCACUGGGCUUAAAGAGCUCGUAGGCGGAUUGUCAAGCGUCUUGUGAAAGCCCUCGGCUCAACCGAGGAAUUGCUUGGCGAACUGGCAGUCUUGAGACAUGUAGGGGCAACCGGAACUCAUGGUGGAGCGGUGGAAUGCGUAGAUAUCAUGAGGAACGCCAGAGGCGAAGGCGGGUUGCUGGGCAUGUUCUGACGCUGAGGAGCGAAAGCGUGGGUAGCAAACGGGAUUAGAUACCCCGGUAGUCCACGCCCUAAACGAUGUCUACUAGGUAGAGGGUUCUCUGACGGAUUCUCUGCCGAAAUGAAAACGUUAAGUAGACCGCCUGGGGAGUACGGUCGCAAGGCUAAAACUCAAAGGAAUUGACGGGGGCUCACACAAGCGGUGGAG